UCCCUCCAGAUUCCUUAUCCCUCAAAUCUAAAUAAUGGUUUAAAACAAACGAAGAGGAAAAGUAAAAUUGAAAUGGACUUGGAAUCUUUAGUGACAAACAAGUUCAUCUCAAAAACAA
rnacentral:snoRNA from 1 species